rfam:Aedes albopictus isolate Foshan contig128784, whole genome shotgun sequence.
UGCCCAGCAACUCCUAUCCCUACCUCCGCGUGGUACCGGCUGAAAACUACGAGCACCCUUAGGGAAGCUCGGGUAAUCAACUACGGUGAGAACUUUGGUCGUAGGCUGACAGGGAAGG